CUUAAACAAGGUGUUUCCAGCAGCAUGUAAACUUGGCGAUAUGGGAUGGGUGAAGGAACAGUAAAACACAUCUGGUGGGAUUGUCCUCGUAUAGUGCCGUAUUGGGAUGCAAUCAAAAUUUUAGGUUAAGUGCCACAUCGAUUUAGAGAAUGUACUCUUAAAUUCCACAACAGCCAUCGUAGCAUCUCAUCAAGUCCUUGGUGCCUGCCCUCUGGCAAUAAGAUAAAGCCUGAUGAACUGAUGAAGAGGGUGGAGGACAAUUCAGAUGGCAGAAUCCAUGCAUGCAUCCUUGACAGGGAAUUCCACGAAACAUGUCGAGC